CCUACGGGAGGCAGCAGUAAGGAAUAUUGGUCAAUGGGCGGAAGCCUGAACCAGCCAUGCCGCGUGCAGGAAGACGGCCCUACGGGUUGUAAACUGCUUUUGUACCGGAAUAAACCUUGAUAUGUAUAUCAAGCUGAAUGUACGGUAAGAAUAAGGAUCGGCUAACUCCGUGCCAGCAGCCGCGGUAAUACGGAGGAUCCAAGCGUUAUCCGGAUUUAUUGGGUUUAAAGGGUGCGUAGGUGGCUUAUUAAGUCAGGGGUGAAAGACGGUAGCUUAACUAUCGCAGUGCCUUUGAUACUGAUGAGCUUGAAUCCACUAGAGGUAGGCGGAAUGUGACAAGUAGCGGUGAAAUGCAUAGAUAUGUCACAGAACACCAAUUGCGAAGGCAGCUUACUAUGGUGGUAUUGACACUGAGGCACGAAAGCGUGGGGAUCAAACAGGAUUAGAUACCCUGGUAGUCCACGCCCUAAACCGAUGAAUACUCGAUGUUGGCGAUAUACGGUCAGCGUCUAAGCGAAAGCGUUAAGUAUUCCACCUGGGGAGUACGCCCGCAAGGGUGAACUUAAAUGAAUUGACCGGNGNGAGAGNGCGACGACGACGACGAGGGAGGAGG
rnacentral:rRNA from 1 species